rnacentral:lncRNA from 1 species
CAUGUCCUCCUGACCCUUCUGUUGCUAGGUCAAAUACAUGUCCCCCUGACACUUCUGUUGGACAUACUGUUGCUAGGUUAAAUACAUGUCCCUUUGACCCUUCUGUUGGACAUACUGUUGCUAGGUAAAAUACAUGUCCCCCGGACCCUUCUGUUGCUAGGUCAAAUACAUGUCCCCCUGAUCCUUCUGUUGGACAUACUGUUUCUAGGUCAAAUACCUCUGCCCCGGACCCUUCUGUUGGACAUACUGUUGCUAGGUCAAAUACAUGUCCACCUGACCCUUCUGUUGGACAUACUGUUGCUAGGUGAAAUACAUGUCCCUACGACCCUUCUGUUGGACUUACUGUUGCUAGGUAAAAUACAUGUCCCCCUGACCCUUCUAUUGGACAUACUGUUGCUAGGUCAAAUACAUGUCCCCCGGACCCUUAUGUUGGACAUACUGUUGCUAGGUCAAAUACAUUUCCCCCUGACCCUUCUGUUGGACAUACUGUUGCUAGGUCAAAUACAUGUCCCCCGGACCCUUCUGUUGGACAUACUGUUGCUAGGUCAAAUACAUGUCCCCCUGACCCUUCUGUUGCUAGGUCAAAUACAUGUCCCCCUGACCCUUCUGUUGCUAGGUCAAAUACAUCUCCCCCCGACCCUUCUGUUGCUAGGUCAAAUACAUGUCCUCCUGACCCUUCUGUUGCUAGGUCAAAUACAUGUCCCCCUGACCUUUCUGUUGGACAUACUGUUGCUAGGUUAAAUACAUGUCCCCUUGACCCUUCUGUUGGACAUACUGUUGCUAGGUAAAAUACAUGUCCCCCGGACCCUUCUGUUGCUAGGUCAAAUACAUGUCCCCCUGAUCCUUCUGUUGGACAUACUGUUGCUAGGUGAAAUACAUGUCCAUACGACCCUUCUGUUGGACUUACUGUUGCUAGGUCAAAUACAUGUCCCCCUGAUUCUUCUGUUGCUAGGUCAAAUACAUGUCCCCUUGACCCUUCUAUUGGACUUACUCUUGCUAGGUCAAAUAAAUGUCCCCCUGACCCUUCUGUUGCUAGGUCAAAUACAUGUCCCCCGCACCCUUCUGUUGGACAUACUGUUGCUAGGUAAAAUACAUGUCCCAAUGACCCUUCUGUUGCUAGGUCAAAUACAUGUCCCCCGACCCUUCUGUUGCUAGGUCAAAUACAUAUCCCCCUGACCCUUCUGUUGCUAGGUCAAAUACAUGUCCCCCUGAUUCUUCUGUUGCUAGGUCAAAUACAUGUCCCCCGACCCUUCUGUUGCUAGGUCAAAUACAUAUCCCCCUGACCCUUCUGUUGCUAGGUCAAAUACAUGUCCC